GACGAACGCUGGCGGCGUGCUUAACACAUGCAAGUCUAACGAAGUGGCGAACGGGUGAGUAACGCGUAAUCAACCUGCCCUUCAGAGGAGGACAACAGUUGGAAACGACUGCUAAUACCGCCUACUGAAGGAGGGGAUUGCGUGUGAUUAGCGAGUUGGAGGGGUAACGGCCCACCAAGGCGAUGAUCAGUAGCCGGUGUGAGAGGAUGAUCGGCCAAAGUGGGACUGAGACACGGCUAAGACUCCUACGGGAGGCAGAAGUAGGGAAUCUUCGGCAAUGGACGAAAGUCUGACCGAGCAACGCCGCGUGAGUGAAGAAGGUUUUCGGAUCGUAAAACUCUGUUGUUAGAGAAGCGGUAUCUAACCAGAAAGCCACGGCUAACUACGUGCCAGCAGCCGCGGUAAUAC
rnacentral:rRNA from 1 species